ACCUGAAGCACUAUUUCUGGGUUAGCAGAGUCUGUAACCUGAAGCGUAUGUAACCCGAGGUACCACUGUAUAGAUAAAGGACUGGCUAAGAGGCCAACUGAAAAGUUAAUGACUGAAGAGAGAUUUCAGUCAGGGAUUUUCCAGGACCCCCACUCUCUCAGCCACUACAUUUGCACACUAGAUUGCUAUUUAACCAUCUAGUCCUGCCCUAAAGGUGAAGAAAUUCUCCCACCCCCAUUUCUUCCCGACACAUGAGAAACACUUGCAGCUAGAGGUGGAACACUGAGGGCACUGGUCAGAAUGGACUGAAGUGAAUGGAGACAAUAGAAAAUCCUGAUGUGAGGAUGCAUUACUGACAGCACUUUAAUGAAAGCUCCAGACCAGUCUGAAAUGUGCAGACACACAUGCGGACAGGACUAGAGCCCAUUCCAUGGCAACAGCACAGAACUGCUUCCCUGCCUGGCUUGAUUUCUCCAGCUACUGAAAUUCACUAGGAUUGCCACACUGGAGUAGAUAAGUUCUCUGGCUCAGCCAGGAGCUCAGGUUGGUGUGGGGGAGAUUUUGCCUGGCUCUGUGUGGCCCCAUUCAUUACUCAAGCUGCCAACUCACUAAAAAAAAGUAACCCUUCAGUUGCAGAUACUAUCCCUUUUUGGCCUGCUUUUUUAAUUAAUUUAAUUUUAUUUUUUUGGGUUGGCCUAGGGUGUGGUUAUUCAUUUGUGGCUGGCUGUGGUGGUCUUUGUUUUCAUGUGUGACUGGGGUGGGUGGGUGUUUUGGAUCAGGUUAGCCUGAUUGAUUUCCUGUUGGUGGUUUUUGUCAUUGUCUUGUUGGGCUGUGUAAGUGAUAAAGGGGAGCCAUACCGGGGCAAAGGUGUCUUCUUCUAUUUGUCCCCGUGUCAGUUUCAGUUUAUUGGUUAAUUUUUCUAGUAGGGCUGUUUCCCAUACUAUUAGGUACCAUUGGUCCAUGCUUACUCCUGACAGGUCUCUCCAGUGUCUGGCUAUGAUGCUUUUGGCCUGCUUUUAUGAUGCCCCAUCGGUCAAUUCACACACCACAGAAUUGUUGGUUGUUGUUGUUUUAAAUUUAUUAGCAAAAAAAGGGGGGGGAUAUAAAAAGGCUUCCAAAAAGAGAGGGAUUUGAUCAGACCCUUUCUCUUGACAGAUCCUGCGCCUGCUUCUGCUCCAAUGUUCUCUUUGCAGCUGGGACUCAAAAGGAUUUACAACCUCCGACUAAAAAACAAGCUUGACAAAAUUAGAAAAGUUUCUUGUGUAGAUAAAGCAAGAUAAUCCCACCA